AUGAACGCUGGCGGCGUGCCUAAUACAUGCCAGUCGAGCGAACGGACGAGAAGCUUGCUUCUCUGAUGUUAGCGGCGGACGGGUGAGUAACACGUGGAUAACCUACCUAUAAGACUGGGAUAACUUCGGGAAACCGGAGCUAAUACCGGAUGAUAUUUUGAACCGCAUGGUUCAAAAGUGAAAGACGGUCUUGCUGUCACUUAUAGAUGGAUCCGCGCUGCAUUAGCUAGUUGGUAAGGUAACGGCUUACCAAGGCAACGAUGCAUAGCCGACCUGAGAGGGUGAUCGGCCACACUGGAACUGAGACACGGUCCAGACUCCUACGGGAGGCAGCAGUAGGGAAUCUUCCGCAAUGGGCGAAAGCCUGACGGAGCAACGCCGCGUGAGUGAUGAAGGUCUUCGGAUCGUAAAACUCUGUUAUUAGGGAAGAACAUAUGUGUAAGUAACUGUGCACAUCUUGACGGUACCUAAUCAGAAAGCCACGGCUAACUACGU
rnacentral:rRNA from 1 species